rnacentral:rRNA from 1 species
GACGUAGGAGGCGAGCGUUAUCCGGAUUUAUUGGGCGUAAAGAGCGUGUAGGCGGCCAGGUAGGUCCGUUGUGAAAACUCGAGGCUCAACCUCGAGACGUCGAUGGAAACCAUCUGGCUAGAGUCCGGAAGAGGAGAGUGGAAUUCCUGGUGUAGCGGUGAAAUGCGCAGAUAUCAGGAAGAACACCUAUGGCGAAGGCAGCUCUCUGGGACGGUACUGACGCUGAGGCGCGAAAGCGUGGGGAGCAAACAGG